GAUGCCUUCUUUCCGAGCUUUCCUCAACAGCCCAAUUGGCCCUAAAACCACUCAUUUUUGGGGGCCGGUCGCUAACUUUGGUUUCGUCGCUGCCGUAUGCUCUGUUUUUCGCUAUUAAAGGAUUGGCAGAUGUGAAAAAGCCCGCCGAUAUGAUAUCUGGCCGAAUGACGACAGGUUCAAAUCAUCUAUACACUGUUUAGUGCUCAAAGUUGUCUAAGUUGGUUCUGGAAUUGAAUCACGCACGAAAUUUGAACAUAAACAAAACUUUGAUUUGAAUCGUGAAAUUGUUGGUGGUGCAGUUUUGUGCAUCUA